rnacentral:rRNA from 1 species
AUGGCCGUGGCUCUGGGAGUUGGUGCGGUGGAAGCGGCACUUGAAGGACCUAGCGUGGGUGGCCGCGGCCAAAGGAGCCUCUCCAAGGAUGGGGGUGGGGAUCACUCGUGGCUGCUUCCUCCUGCCAUCCUCUUUGUGCAAUCUCAAAAUAUCAGUGUGGUUAAUCCAGAUGUGAGUGUGGUUAAUCCAGAUGUGAAGGUUAUGGUCUGUAGCAUCAGAAUAUAUAAAAUUUAA